CUUGCUCCUCUUUUUCUUCUUUUCCUUAUUGUCUCCCUUCUUUUUCUUCUUCUUCUUGACGGACGAGGAACGGUCACGAUGAUGAUGAUGAUGAUGCUGGUGAAGAAGGAUUGGAUACGAGUACGAAAGAAAAACCAAAUGAUGAUGAUGCUCCUUACAUGUUU
rnacentral:ribozyme from 16 species